rnacentral:rRNA from 1 species
GAUGAACGCUAGCGGCAGGCCUAAUACAUGCAAGUCGAGGGGCAGCACGGUAGCAAUACUGGUGGCGACCGGCGCACGGGUGCGUAACGCGUAUGCGACUUACCCUUUACAGGGAGAUAGCCCGGAGAAAUUCGGAUUAAUAUCCCAUAGUAUAUAGAUUUGGCAUCAGAUUUAUAUUAAAGAUUUAUCGGUAAAGGAUGGGCAUGCGUGUCAUUAGCUAGUUGGUGAGGUAACGGCUCACCAAGGCGACGAUGACUAGGGGUACUGAGAGGUUACACCCCCACACUGGUACUGAGACACGGACCAGACUCCUACGGGAGGCAGCAGUAAGGAAUAUUGGACAAUGGGCGAGAGCCUGAUCCAGCCAUGCCGCGUGCAGGAUGACGGUCCUAUGGAUUGUAAACUGCUUUUGUAUGGGAAAUAAACCCAGGUACGUGUACCUGGCUGAAUGUACCAUAAGAAUAAGGAUCGGCUAACUCCGUGCCAGCAGCCGCGGUAAUACGGAGGAUCCAAGCGUUAUCCGGAUUUAUUGGGUUUAAAGGGUGCGUAGGCGGGACAGUAAGUCAGUGGUGAAAUCCUAUCGCUUAACGAUAGAAUUGCCAUUGAUACUGCUGACCUUGAGUACAAAUGAUGUGGGCGGAAUGUGCAGUGUAGCGGUGAAAUGCUUAGAUAUUGCACAGAACACCGAUAGCGAAGGCAGCUCACAAAAAUUGCAACUGACGCUGAGGCACGAAAA